rnacentral:rRNA from 1 species
CUCGAAAAUUUAGGAGCUGAAGAAAAUUUGUUAAGAACCCAAUUCUAUAUAUAGCAAUAUAUUCAUAAAAAUUUUCUUCAGGGGCUACAUACCUUCCGCAUAAAUUUAUAGCUAGUUUCUAUAAAAUUUUAUUUUAGUAAAGCAAGACUCUUCUAUGUAAAUUUAUAAAGGAUAAGCUUUAUAAAUUUUUAUAUUCACCACAUAUCCAUUUAAAGUAGGCUUAAAACCAGCCAACCAUUACGUUAUAGUUUUUAUAAAAAUAAUUAUUAUAAGAAUUAAUACUAUAUAGAUAUAUUAAUAAACCUUUUUUAAUAAAAACAAUGCUAAGAUUAGUAUUUUUAACUUUUAUUUCCCCUAUAUAUAAAAAAGGAACUCGGCAAAUACAUAUUUCGACUGUUUAUCAAAAACAUAGCCUUAUGACUCUUAUAUAAGGUUCAUCCUGCCCGGUGAUUCUUUCAACGGCCGCAGUACCCUGACUGUGCAAAGGUAGCAUAAUCAUUUGCCUUUUAAUUGGAGGCUGGAAUGAACGGACACACGUAAAUAAAGCUGUCUCUUUUAUAUCAAUAUAAAUUGAACUUCAGGUGAAGAUGCCUGAAUAUUUUUAAAGGACAAAAAGACCCUAUUGAGCUUUAUUCUUUAUUAAUUUAGCAUGAUAAAUUACUCAAUAUAUUAAUUAAGAAUUUUGUUGGGGCGACAAAGGAACACAAAAAACUUCCUUAUAUUUUUAGAUUACUAAUCACAUAUUGAUCCUUACCAAAAGCUUAAGAAACCAGCUACCAUAGGGAUAACAGGCUAAUCAUUUUUUAGAGUUCAUAUCGACAAAAUGGGUUGGCACCUCGAUGUUGGCUUAGGAUAUCCUGUGGGUGUAGAAGCUCACAAAGGUAGGUUUGUUCAACCUUUAAAAUCCUACAUGAGCUGAGUUCAGACCGGCGUAAGCCAGGUUAGUUUCUAUCCUUAAAAUUUAUUACUCUUAUCUAGUAGUACGAAAGGACCCUA